UUUCCGUAGGUGAACCUGCGGAAGGAUCAUUAUUGAAUGAACUUGGUAGUGGUUUUAGCUGGCUCUCUCGAGAGCAUGUUCACGCCCGCCAUCUUUAUCUUUCCACCUGUGCACUUCUUGUCGACUUUGGGAUUUGUAAACUUUUCCGGGGCAACUCGGUCGGUCGGAGCUGCUGUAGCAAUACGGCUCUCCUUGACAAGUCUUCAAAGUCUAUGUUUUUCAUAUACCCCAUAGUAUGUAACAGAAGGAAUACAAAUGUGCCUUAGUGCUUAUAAACCCUAUACAACUUUCAACAACGGAUCUCUUGGCUCUC
rnacentral:misc_RNA from 1 species